GACGAACGCUGGCGGCGUGCUUAACACACGCAAGUCGAACGGAAAGGCCCUGCUUUUGUGGGGUGCUCGAGUGGCGAACGGGUGAGUAACACGUGAGUAACCUGCCCUUGACUUUGGGAUAACUUCAGGAAACUGGGGCUAAUACCGGAUAGGAGCUCCUGCUGCAUGGUGGGGGUUGGAAAGUUUCGGCGGUUGGGGAUGGACUCGCGGCUUAUCAGCUUGUUGGUGGGGUAGUGGCUUACCAAGGCUUUGACGGGUAGCCGGCCUGAGAGGGUGACCGGCCACAUUGGGACUGAGAUACGGCCCAGACUCCUACGGGAGGCAGCAGUGGGGAAUAUUGCACAAUGGGCGGAAGCCUGAUGCAGCAACGCCGCGUGCGGGAUGACGGCCUUCGGGUUGUAAACCGCUUUCGCCUGUGACGAAGCGUGAGUGACGGUAAUGGGUAAAGAAGCACCGGCUAUCUACGUG
rnacentral:rRNA from 1 species